GAUGAACGCUGGCGGCGUGCUUAACACAUGCAAGUCGAACGGUGAAGGAGGAGCUUGCUCUUCUGGAUCAGUGGCGAACGGGUGAGUAACACGUGAGCAAUCUGCCCUUGACUCUGGGAUAACAGUUGGAAACAGCUGCUAAUACCGGAUACGAGACGUGACCGCAUGGUCAACGUCUGGAAAGAACUUCGGUCAAGGAUGAGCUCACGGCCUAUCAGCUAGUUGGUGAGGUAAUGGCUCACCAAGGCGACGACGGGUAGCCGGCCUGAGAGGGUGACCGGCCACACUGGGACUGAGACACGGCCCAGACUCCUACGGGAGGCAGCAGUGGGGAAUAUUGCACAAUGGGCGAAAGCCUGAUGCAGCAACGCCGCGUGAGGGACGACGGCCUUCGGGUUGUAAACCUCUUUUAGCAAGGAAGAAGCGAAAGUGACGGUACUUGCAGAAAAAGCGCCGGCUAACUACGUG
rnacentral:rRNA from 2 species